rnacentral:lncRNA from 1 species
GGCCUCCCUAACUUCCGGAUAGGCGCCAUAUUGGAAAAAACUGAUGUUACUCAAAGAGGUAAGUCGUCAAUUUGAAAUGUUGAAUUAAGAAAAUCGAGCAAACUAAUUUUAUAUUGGAUUAGUUUAUAUUGUACUGUGAGUUAAAAAUUUUGAUGUUAUCAUAUUUUUAUAAACAAAAUUAUUAUGGUUAUUGAGAAAAAGUUCAGCAUUGCCAAGAAUGUUGCGAAAACACAUGUCUGAUAAAACCAAGUCUUGGUUUUAUGAAUUUUUCACAAUUGCUCGUUUUUGGAUAAGAGAUUUCUUUAAAUUAAAGGUCCGAUAGAAGUUUGAUAUGUUUUUGAAUGUUUAUAUAACAACAUCAUUACAGAUCGAAAGCAAAUUAUGCAUUUUGACGCACAUGUUAUGCCGCUUCAUUGUUAUUCAAAUGAGCGACCAUAACCGGUUGUUUGUGUACUUUAACACACAUGAUGUAUCAUUGAAAAAGUGUAGGCAUUGUAUGGUAUGAAUAUUUCUAUAUAUCUGUAAUUUAAACUAUAAUUGCUAACUUCAAUACAUUAAUUGUUGCAUGUACUUUGACAGAGAGUUGUCUCAUUGACAAUCAUAUAUACAUGUAGCCAUCCUUAUCUUCUUAUUUAUAUUUUUAAUACACACAUAUAUACAUGUUUAAUGAUUUGAAUUCAAACACGUAUCAGUUUCAAUUCAAACAAGUAUCAGGUGUUGUUCAGUUUCAUUUCAUUUGACUUGAGUUGGGAGGACACAAAUUUUUUAAGAACAAUUACUCAAGCUUGAAAAUAUGUGGAUAGGUCAGGAAAACUAUAAAAAAAGUUGUGAUUAUAUCAAUAAACUUCCAAUAACUUCUUCGUCUCUCAUCCUUCUGAGGGGGAGGACAGGGGUAAGGGAGACAGGGAGAAAGGGGGUAGGAGAAAGGAGAAAGGGGGUGGGAGAAAGGAGAAAGGGGGUAGGAGAAAGGAGAGGAAGGCUGGGAGAAAGGAGAAAAAGUUUGAGAAAGGAGAAAAAAUAAAAUAUCUCUCCUUUUAAAAAAAUUUCUAAUAUUUCAAGAAAAAAUAUCUCAAAAGGAGAUGUUUUAUUCUAAUGGGAGAAAGGAGAACGGGGGUAGGAGAAAGGAGAAGAGGGAUGGGAGAAGGGAGAAGGGUACCCCCCUGUCCUCCCCCUCCCUUCUCGGUGUGACAUAAGCUGUUUUUAUCAAUCUUUUUAUACACAUUGGUAUUCCACUCUUUUAUUGCAGAGCAUUAAUACCCACAUGAAACCCAAACAUUAUAUAGGUAUUAAAAGGUUACAUUUUCACCUAUCUGUAUUUGCAAUUUAUCAUGUUGCAAAACAAUAUAUAUCCAUCAUUUGUGAAGUUAUUUCACUCUAUAUAUGUGUCCUUUAGCUACCCUAUAUUUAUUUAUGCUUUGAAUGAUCCAGUACUUUAUAGUCAUGUCCAUAUAUUCAUAUUAUGUCUUUCUAUAAUUUCAGUCAGUGGAAAUACAUAGAAUCAACAUCCUAGCUGAUUUUGCAAUUUUUCAUACAGACUAUGAAAACACUGCUGUAGUUCUUUGAUUCUUUAAUAAGUUGUACAUGUUGUGAUGUAACAAAUUACUUUUCAUAAACUGCAUGUACAAAAUGAAUGAAAGAAGGUAAGAUAUUAAAGUUAGUCUCAAAUAGUUAUUUAUACUUGUGAGAAAGUUGCAUGUAAUACAAAUGUAUUUCAUAGAAAAUGAUUCCUCUUGUUAUUGACUUACAAAUAUAACUCAGUCUCAAAUGAAAUGAAAGUUCAAAGAUUUAAGAAUACAAACAAGUACACAUGUGCAUACACAAACGUUAACAUAUUAUUGACUAUAUUAACAUUUGCCAUGCAAGAUAUCAAAAUAUUUUUAUAGUAUACAGCUAUUGACCAUUUUUACAUCACAGACUACAAAUUUUGUGGACUCAGUGAAAUUAAGUCAUGUACAUGUAUUUGCAGAUUUUUCCAUCUUUCGUACAUGUAGGUGUAAUUAAGAUUGAGCCAAACUGCAUUGAAAAAUGUGCUGGAACAGUUUACAUUUAUAAUAUUACUUUGUAAUGAGCACCAUAGGCUGAUCCAGGGGGCUUUAUGAAGCCCUUUUGUUGAAAAAAUUUUGGUUAAUUAUAUUGAAAAUCACUGAAGCAUGACUUGAGAGUGGCCCCCUAAGGUCAGUCAGAGUACAAAAAGUUCUGGAUCUGCCACUAAGAAUCUACAUGUAUACCAAUAUAAAAUACCUGACACUCUAAAACAAGCAUAAUUUUUUUAAUGGUUUACAAUCAGGACGACAUCAACAUUGACCUUCUUCAUUUUUGGGGUCAAAUGUGACAGGGCUGCCACUUUUUAAGGACAUCAUCGAUUAUUUCAAUUACAUAUUGAGGUUGAAAUGCUUUUGUAAAAUUUAGUUACACAUUUAUGAUAAUUUGAUAAAGCUUAAAUCAAUGUAAGCGUUUUGUUUUAAACUUUUUUUUUAUAUCUGCACUAAAAAGAGAAGUGUUAUAAUUGUCUUUAGACAUUAAUAUAUAUAAAUUCACAUUUAAUUUGACUUUUAAAUUGCAUAUUGUAUUGUUUUCUUAUAUUGGAAUUGUUUUUCAAUACAUGUAUAACAUUAUAAUUUCAGGAUAGAAUGCAAAACUGGUGAAGAUGAAGGUUAUAAUUGUGAUCUACAUAUUGAUUGAUUUGAAGCAGAUUUUGUUCUAGAGUGAAAUAAAAAAAAACUAGUGCAGUGUGUUUUAGAAAGAUGUUCAACUAUUAACACAACAACAAACAUAUUCAUUGUUUGACUGAGAGAUAAAUGAAUAUAAGUGUAAAUAAAGAGUAGAC